rnacentral:rRNA from 1 species
AGCGUAGGUGGCCUAACAUGUCAACUGUGAAAACCCGGAGCUCAACUCCGGACUUGCAGUUGAAACUGGUAGGCUUGAGGACGGUAGAGGAAGACGGAACUGCCAGUGUAGGGGUAAAAUCCUUAGAUAUUGGCAGGAACGCCGGUGACGAAGGUGGUUUUCCGGCGGUUCUGACACUGAUGCUCGAAAGCCAGGGGAGCGAACG